rnacentral:rRNA from 1 species
UACGGAGGGUGCGAGCGUUAAUCGGAAUUACUGGGCGUAAAGGGUGCGUAGGUGGUAUGGUAAGUUAUCUGUGAAAUCCCUGGGCUCAACCUGGGCAGGUCAGAUGAUACUGCUGUACUCGAGUAUGGGAGAGGGUAGUGGAAUUUCCGGUGUAGCGGUGAAAUGCGUAGAGAUCGGAAGGAACACCAGUGGCGAAGGCGGCUACCUGGCCUAAUACUGACACUGAGGCACGAAAGCGUGGGGAGCAAACAGG